CUUCUACCUGUUCCAGGUGGCGUUGGAGCCGGCGCGUCUCUGCUGGGUCCCUCGCUCCUCCAAGGCCGCCUGCUCGCUCUUGCCCAGCUCGCAGAGGCUGGGCGAACUCAUGAACUUCGGCCUGCGGAAAUUCCUCAUGAGUGGUUUUAAUGGAGCUUGGGAAGAAGUGCCUUUUACAGGAUCAUCCUGGAGUAAAACAACUACAGCAUUGAAAAACUUGGCCUCAGUACCUGAUGCAGGGUCUCGACCCAAAACGUCGACAAUUUCUUUCCUGCCACAGAUGCUGCUCAACCCUCUGAACUCCUCCAGCAGUUUAUUUAUCGUCUCGGUUCUCCUGGUUUGGUAUAGAACAAAACAAUAUGCAGAAUAAAUUGAGAACUGACAUUCAGGUCUCAAAUGACCUUU